CCUACGGGAGGCAGCAGUGAGGAAUAUUGGUCAAUGGGCGAGAGCCUGAACCAGCCAAGUCGCGUGAAGGAUGAAGGCCCUACGGGUUGUAAGCUUCUUUUGUCAGGGAGCAAUUGAGGCCACGUGUGGGCGUAGCGAGAGUACAUGAAGAAAAAGCAUCGGCUAACUCCGUGCCAGCAGCCGCGGUAAUACGGAGUAUGCGAGCGUUAUCCGGAUUUAUUGGGUUUAAAGGGUGCGUAGGCGGAAUAUCAAGUCAGCGGUAAAAAUUCGGGGCUCAACCCCGUCGUGCCGUUGAAACUGAUGUUCUUGAGUGGGCGAGAAGUAUGCGGAAUGCGUGGUGUAGCGGUGAAAUGCAUAGAUAUCACGCAGAACUCCGAUUGCGAAGGCAGCAUACCGGCGCCCAACUGACGCUGAAGCACGAAAGCGUGGGUAUCGAACAGGAUUAGAUACCCCUGUAGUC
rnacentral:rRNA from 1 species